GACGAACGCUGGCGGCGUGCCUAAUACAUGCAAGUAGAACGCUGAAGGAGGAGCUUGCUUCUCUGGAUGAGUUGCGAACGGGUGAGUAACGCGUAGGUAACCUGCCUGGUAGCGGGGGAUAACUAUUGGAAACGAUAGCUAAUACCGCAUAAGAGUAGAUGUUGCAUGACAUUUGCUUAAAAGGUGCAAUUGCAUCACUACCAGAUGGACCUGCGUUGUAUUAGCUAGUUGGUGGGGUAACGGCUCACCAAGGCGACGAUACAUAGCCGACCUGAGAGGGUGAGCGGCCACACUGGGACUGAGACACGGCCCAGACUCCUACGGGAGGCAGCAGUAGGGAAUCUUCGGCAAUGGACGGAAGUCUGACCGAGAAACGCCGCGUGAGUGAAGAAGGUUUUCGGAUCGUAAAGCUCUGUUGUAAGAGAAGAACGAGUGUGAGAGUGGAAAGUUCACACUGUGACGGUAUCUUACCAGAAAGGGACGGCUAACUACGUG
rnacentral:rRNA from 1 species